UUGUGGUCAGUUUCGACUUUUCAAAUGAAAAGCCCCGCCCCGGCGGGGCUUUUUGUUUUGUGAGCCGCGAGUGCAGGUAUUUCCGUUUCUCUCUGCGGCCAGGGGCGCAUGAAUUCAGCCAGGGACGCAUGAAUGCGUCCCCUACAUCUAAACACCCCGGGGCGCAAGAAUGCGCCCCCUACGGUUAUGCGUAGGGGCGCCGAUCAGGUAAGGGUGAAAGGGUGCGGUAAGAGCGCACCGCGCGGCUGGCAACAGUCCGUGGCACGGUAAACUCCACCCGGAGCAAGGCCAAAUAGGGGUUCACAUGGUACGGCCCGUACUGAACCCGGGUAGGCUGCUUGAGCCAGUGAGCGAUUGCUGGCCUAGAUGAAUGACUGUCCACGACAGAACCCGGCUUAUCCAAACGU
rnacentral:RNase_P_RNA from 1 species